UAAGAAAGCAGAGGUACACCUCUUAAUAAUUAACAGUGAAAGAGAUCUUUUAAGGGGGUGGUGGAUGAUCAUAUUGAAUAAUUCAGUGCUAUAGCAAAAGGAACAAUGUUACGGUAACUUUAUAGGUGAGUAUUUGCAACAGAAUCCAACAAAAACACUUGAUAUGCGGACAGCCUCAUGUGUU